UACGAAGGGGGCCAGCGUUGCUCGGAAUCACUGGGCGUAAAGCGCACGUAGGCGGAUCUUUAAGUCAGAGGUGAAAUCCCAAGGCUCAACCUUGGAACUGCCUUUGAUACUGGGGAUCUCGAGUCCGGAAGAGGUGAGUGGAACUGCGAGUGUAGAGGUGAAAUUCGUAGAUAUUCGCAAGAACACCAGUGGCGAAGGCGGCUCACUGGCCCGAUACUGACGCUGAGGCACGAAAGCGUGGGGAGCAAACAGG
rnacentral:rRNA from 1 species